rnacentral:rRNA from 1 species
UACGAAGGGUGCAAACGUUGCUCGGAAUCAUUGGGCGUAAAGCGCACGUAGGCGGCCUCAUAAGUCGGAUGUGAAAUCCCUCGGCUCAACCGAGGAAGUGCAUCCGAAACUGCGAGGCUCGAGUAUGGAAGAGGGUCGCAGAAUUCCCGGUGUAGAGGUGAAAUUCGUAGAUAUCGGGAGGAAUACCAGUGGCGAAGGCGGCGACCUGGGCCAAUACUGACACUGAGGUGCGAAAGCGUGGGGAGCAAACAGG